UCUAUGGAGAACAGCCUGUCGGCGUAAAGCUGAUAUGGUUAAGCUGGUACUCUUAAUAUUCUGUUUAAUUUUGAAUGACCAAGUCAUUCAAGUUGUUCUUUGAAAACUGAACAGAUUAAGUAAAGUAAUUGUAAUACUCAAAUUAAACUAUGUUUAUAAGGGUAUACAAUUUCGCAAAUAAUAAAUUGAUUUU
rnacentral:misc_RNA from 1 species